AAACUAACAAGGAUUCCCCUAGUAACGGCGAGUGAAGUGGGAAAAGCUCAACUUUGAAAUCUGGCAGCUUCGCUGUCCGAGUUGUAGUCUCGAGAAGUGUUUUCCGCGCUGGACCAUGUAUGAGUCUGUUGGAAUACAGCGUCAUAGAGGGUGAGAACCCCGUUCAUGACAUGCCUUCCAGUGCUUUGUGAUACACUUUCGAUGAGUCGAGUUGUUUGGGAAUGCAGCUCAAAUUGGGUGGUAAAUUCCAUCUAAAGCUAAAUAUUGGGGAGAGACCGAUAGCAAACAAGUACCGUGAGGGAAAGAUGAAAAGCACUUUGGAAAGAGAGUUAAAAGUACGUGAAAUUGUUGAAAGGGAAACGCUUGAAGUCAGACGUGCGCAGCUUCGGCUAAUGCAGGCCAGCAUCGGUUUUGUGAGCCGGAUAAAAGUGGGAGGAAUGUGACAGUCUCGGCUGUGUUAUAGCCUCCUAUUGAAUACGGAUCGUGAGACCGAGGGAUGCAGCGUUCGCGCUUAGGAUGCUGGUGAAAUGGCUUUAAACGAC
rnacentral:rRNA from 2 species